rnacentral:lncRNA from 1 species
UAUUAUACAAAAAUGACACGUGUCUGUCCAAAAAAAAAAAAAAAAAAAAAGGCAAGUGUGUUAGAUGCUACCUGUCAGCUAUGUUAUUCAGCAAUGUUCAUCAGCAUAUUUUUUUUUAUAGUUGAGCCUGUUUGUAUGUUGUGGUUUAAUAGUAACCAUACUUGUAAUAUUAACUGUAUAGCUUGCACUACUGUUCACUGGGGUCUGUAAGAUUUAUGAAAUAUUAUUGGAAUUACCAGAAAAAGUUUUCUAUUUGAGUAUAUUUUAAAAUGUAAGUUUUUUUUCCUGUGAAUGUAAAUCUGAAAUCUCAGUAGCAAUACUGCAGUCUUCAGUAUUGCAUGAUCCUUCAGAAAUCAUCCUAAUAUUUCAGCUCAGGAACUCUUAUUGUUAUUAUUUAUCAGUGUUGAAAUCAGUUGAGCUGCUUAAUACUGUUAUAGAUUUUAUUCAGGAUUCUAUAAAGAAUAGAAAGUUCAACAAACAACAUUUAUUUGAAAUGGACAUCUUUUGUAUCAUUACAAAUGUCACUUUUAUCAACUUGGUGCAUCUUUGUUAAUACUUCUUGAUUUCUUUUUUUGAUGUCUUUCAAAACCAAAAAUCUUACUGACCCCAAAUUUGGAAAGGUUUCUCCAAAUAUAGCCUACAUGAUCCAUUAUUAUAAAACAGUAAGUACAUAAUCAGCACUUUCCAUUAUUUCUAUAGAUGUCAGCAGCAGAGAAACAGCGAAGAUACCGGGCUCGACGCGAUGCUGAUCCCUCAAGAAGGGCACAAUAUUUAGAAAAGCAAAGAGAGGCCUGGUACAGACAAAUAAGACGCGGAAAGGUGAAACCAGUCGCAGAGUUGAGUGAGAGCGAGAAACAAAGCAAGAGAGACCAGUGGAGAAAAGCCCAACAGAGAAGAAGACAGAGAAAUCGAAUGCUAGUACAAAAAGACAGCAAUGAACUUGAACAGCUACCUACAGAAUCAAGGAGUCGAAUGGCCUCUGCUGUUACAGUGAAGACAGAGAAGCGUCCUUCCCAUGACUCUGAGGAUGGAGACACAGUGGCUAAGAAGGCCAGGUAUGAAAACAACAGAUGUUCGAGUCUUGCUUAGCUGCCGACACAUUCCCAGAGAGAGCCAAAUAUUCUUCAUUGAUAUUAGCUCCUGUUUGCUGACCUGUUCCGAUAAACAUGUGAUCUUUCAAAGACCUGUACUUUCUGAUAAGAUGACUCCGCCAGAUGGUUUUUCCUAUUC